GGGGCAUCGAGUUCACUCCCAACCCCUGUGACAUACCAAUUGUUGCCUCGGCGGAUCAGCCCGCUCCCGGUAAAACGGGACGGCCCGCCAGAGGACCCCUAAACUCUGUUUCUAUAUGUAACUUCUGAGUAAAACCAUAAAUAAAUCAAAACUUUCAACAACGGAUCUCUUGGUUCUGGCAUCGAUGAAGAACGCAGCAAAAUGCGAUAAGUAAUGUGAAUUGCAGAAUUCAGUGAAUCAUCGAAUCUUUGAACGCACAUUGCGCCCGCCAGUAUUCUGGCGGGCAUGCCUGUUCGAGCGUCAUUUCAACCCUCAAGCCCAGCUUGGUGUUGGGACUCGCGAGUCAAAUCGCGUUCCCCAAAUUGAUUGGCGGUCACGUCGAGCUUCCAUAGCGUAGUAGUAAAACCCUCGUUACUGGUAAUCGUCGCGGCCACGCCGUUAAACCCCAACUUCUGAAUGUUGACCUCGGAUCAGGUAGGAAUACCCGCUGAACUUAAGCAUAUCAAAAGGCGGAGGA
rnacentral:rRNA from 1 species